UGCGGGGACAGAGGAGCGGUGGCUGUAGCCGGGCGAGGCCACCUGAAGAGCUUCCUGUGCACUGCAUUACACCUCACCGUGCUCGUGCUGUUCGUCGCGAGGCGACAUCUGUAGGGCGCGAGGCGACAACACCAGCAACAGGACCACGCACGAGGAACGAGCUCACAUCAUUUGCACUAAGGGGAUGCGGGAGCGUCGGAGGAUGCGAUCCAGGAAAAGCUGUGCAGAAAGACCGACGGAGGAGGGGAAGGAGGAGGAAGCGGGGUUAAAUGUGUGUUUGAAGGUCGGAACUUUGUGUCUGACUUAACUCCAUGAAGACUUUCUCACGCCCGAUGUGGAUGCACUACAGGAGCUUCAGAACGAGCUGACACACUGAACCCCUAGCAGCCCUGCAGUCAGUCAGUUGCACGUCCUGCCCCUGCGUGACUCUCCGAUUCUGUCAUCCCAGUUUCAAAACAGUGAUGUCAUCCUCCCCUGGUAGAGCGGAGGGGAAAGCUAACUAAUAGGACGGCUCUGAAUGUUCACCUCCCACGGUGUAUGAGUGCAAAGGGGUUAAACUGAUCAGACCUUCAAAUGCAUUUAGGCUAAAAUUAGUGUAGCAAUCCUGAAAGAUGCACCGAAAUACACCUGUUUCUGAGCUUCAUAAUACACUGUACCUUUUUUUUUUUUUUUUUUUAAAUAAGCUAUUCUGUAAGAACAAACAUGUAAAUGAGAGGAUGGGUGUUUUUAUAGAUGUUUUCUACAGUGUUUAGAUACAUUCUCCUGUGCUUUAGCAUUAUCUGUUGGGGGCAGUGUUAAGUGGCUUUUUUUUUAUCAUGAACAAGAUACAGGACCUGUGCAUAGGAACCUAUGCUGUUAAUGCUGUCUGUGAUUUAUGGAAAUAAGCUUUCUCUCAUAUAACGUGUAAUGUGAGCAGAAUUACAUUAACUGUCUUUUAUAAAGUGUUUGCUAUUUAUACUUCCUAAAUAUUUCUUAUGGAUUUUUAGCAGUUAAAAUAAUAAAAAUCUUUCUAAAACAAA